GGCACAAUGCAGUGCGUAUAUAAAAAUGUCACCUUACCUCUAGGUCACUCAUACACUGAUUAUACCGGCUGUAUAGAGCACAGCUGUAGUUCGGAUGGAAGUAUGACUAUAUGUGGGAUUGGUAUAUAUGCAGGAGUGAUUCUUCCGCCAGAUGGAUGUGCCAUUCUAAGAGGAGAAAAAUGUGCUUUUGAGUUUGUAUCUUCCAGAGAUCAAUCAAUCAAAUGCGAAGCAGAGAUAUUUGGAUAAACAUAUUUACAUAUCUAUGAAAAAAGAAUAAAAUAUUUAAGAAAAAAUGCAAAAACACUUCCUACAUUAAGUGAUUUUAUGUAAAAAAAAACCUAUGUAUUGGCGGACAUAAUCUUGUAAAUAGUUUAAUACAAUAAAUUUAUCUUUGGUCGAAA